GCCCAGAGGCCAGGCAGAAGUGGGCUGGGAAGGACGGGCAGAGCCUGCUGAGGGUGGCAGCUUGGCCUUGAGCAGCACCAUGGGCAGCCAGGGGCUCUCCCGGCUGCUGCAGCUCUCGGUGCUGCUGCUCUCGGUGCAGCCACUGGAGCCUUCCAGCCCCGCUGCCGGGGACUCGGGGGCCUGGGAUGCGCUUCCCGAGCUCCUGGAACAGCGGGACAGGACGUGGCGCCCAUGAGGGAGCCACUGCGGAGAGCAUUCCCUGCCUUAAAAAUCAGCAGUGCAAACUGUGCUGAAGAAGUGAAGAUGGAAGUCACAGAAGUGUAAACAGGCAGAGCUUGACAGAGUGGAUUG